GCCAUGCCAAAAUUUGGCCAAAACCCUAAUCUUAAUUUUAUUUAGAUUUUAAUUCUCAUUGUGAACCUUAUGACUGUGUAUGUAUGAAUUUUGCAUUGUGAAGGAUGGUCAUUAAGUUUUAAAAUAUGUUUCAUUGAGGUGGAUAUCUCCUCGGCCUUUCAAAUAUCCCAAGGGUCUUAAGGGCCUCGGAUUUUCUUCAAUUAGUCACUCAAUUUCUAUUUUUUCAAUGUAAGAUUCUGAAUA
rnacentral:lncRNA from 1 species